rnacentral:tRNA from 1 species
GGGGUUGUGGCUCAGUGGUAGAGCACUUGUCUAGCAUGUCUGAGGCCCUGGGUUCAAACCUCAGCACCA